rnacentral:lncRNA from 1 species
ACAUCUCUUGGAGUUCUAGCUCACCUUUCUGGUGUUGUUCUUGUACUCAUCUAUUUAAUCUAGUUCGGCCACUUCUUCUUGAACUUCUUGUUAGUUUUCAAGUCUGUUUUUUGUGUCCGUGACAGUUUGUCGAGACUGCACUAACUUGAGAUAUCAGAGCUAGUUCUUUCUUAGUAGAGUGUGGAUUACCCCUCUUCUUGAAGGUAUACUAGCAUUUUUAGAGGUUGCGGAUUACCCUCCUCUAAACUGAUACUUCUUGUGUUAUAAUAUUGGAGUCUUAUUCUUCUUGGAGAGAGUUGAUUACCACUCUUCUUGAAAUUCUUAAGGCGUUUUAUAGGUUGUGGAUUACCCUCCUAUAAACCAAUAUUGCCUCUUAUAGGG